rnacentral:rRNA from 1 species
GGGGAAUCUUCCGCAAUGGACGAAAGUCUGACGGAGCAACGCCGCGUGAGUGAUGACGGCCUUCGGGUUGUAAAGCUCUGUUAAUCGGGACGAAUGGUUCUUGUGUGAAUAGUGCGAGGAUUUGACGGUACCGGAAUAGAAAGCCACGGCUAACUACGUGCCAGCAGCCGCGGUAAUACGUAGGUGGCAAGCGUUGUCCGGAAUUAUUGGGCGUAAAGCGCGCGCAGGCGGAUUGGUCAGUCUGUCUUAAAAGUUCGGGGCUUAACCCCGUGAUGGGAUGGAAACUGCCAAUCUAGAGUAUCGGAGAGGAAAGUGGAAUUCCUAGUGUAGCGGUGAAAUGCGUAGAUAUUAGGAAGAACACCAGUGGCGAAGGCGACUUUCUGGACGAAAACUGACGCUGAGGCGCGAAAGCCAGGGGAGCGAACGGGAUUAGAUACCCCGGUAGUCCUGGCCGUAAACGAUGGGUACUAGGUGUAGGAGGUAUCGACCCCUUCUGUGCCGGAGUUAACGCAAUAAGUACCCCGCCUGGGGAGUACGACCGCAAGGUUG